rnacentral:rRNA from 1 species
GCCCUUAGAGUUUGAUCAUGGCUCAGGACGAACGCUGGCGGCGUGCCUAACACAUGCAAGUCGAACGGGGUUUAGGGGAAAGCUUGCUUUCCCCGAAGACCUAGUGGCGAACGGGUGAGUAACACGUGGGCAACCUACCCAAAAGACCGGGAUAACAGGUCGAAAGGCCUGCUAAUACCGGAUGUACCGCUAAAGGGGCAUCCCUUAAGCGGCAAAUAGGUUUACUGCUUUUGGAUGGGCCCGCGUCCCAUUAGCUAGUUGGUGGAGUAACGGUUCACCAAGGCGACGAUGGGUAGCCGGCCUGAGAGGGUGAUCGGCCACACUGGGACUGAGACGCGGCCCAGACUCCUACGGGAGGCAGCAGUGGGGAAUAUUGCGCAAUGGGGGCAACCCUGACGCAGCGACGCCGCGUGAGUGAUGAAGGCCUUCGGGUUGUAAAGCUCUGUCAAGGGGGAAGAAUACUGACGGUACCCCUAAAGGAAGCCCCGGCUAACUACGUGCCAGCAGCCGCGGUAAUACGUAGGGGGCGAGCGUUGUCCGGAAUUACUGGGCGUAAAGGGCGUGUAGGCGGUCUGGUAAGUCAGCUGUGAAAACCCGGGGCUCAACCCUGGGAUUGCAGUUGAAACUACUUGACUUGAGUGCA